CUUCCAUUUUCCAUCAGCUCAGCUGUCCUCAAGAAUCGGUGCAUGGUGUAUAGAGCACAUCUGUAUAGCUACUGCCAGGUAUGUUUCAAUAUAAAUUCCUCUAAAAACUAUAAUAGACCAGUGACUAAUCUUUGUUCCUGCAUUGGAUUGUGAUCCAGAAAUCUUCUUGAGGAUUUUCAAGUGAAAAUUUGUGAGAAUUAUAAAUACAAAUUCUUUCUCACUGCGAGAAGCUAAGCUGGAUUGAAAUCAUUUGUAACAUUUUUUCCACUAUUUUUGCACCUUCUUACUGGUCUAUGAUUAUUAAUGUCCCAGUUUCUGAUUCUUACAAUUUAAAGAUGCGUCUAGGCACUGUUACGUAAUUUGUAUUUGUCAGCAUUACUGAAGAGAAGAUGGCUUAAGCAAAACUUAACAUUGCUUGAUAAUUUGUAGUUUUACUUUGUCGAUCAUGGUGAGUAUCCUAAUCUGUGACCCCUUAAUUUUGCAGAACUGGUGAUGGGGUCGUGUUGCGGAAAACAUAAAAAGAAGGAGUCAACAUCGUCAACUCCUGAAAUUCAAGCAAGUUCGGCGGAGCAAGAGGAGAGGGAAGAAACUGAAGCAAGUUCGGCGGAGCAAGAGGUGAGGGAAGAAACUGAAGCAAGUCCGGCGGAGCAAGAGGUGAGGGAAGAAACGGAAGAGUUGCCCGAAGAAAUAUUGAUUACGAUUCCAAUGAUAGGGUUGCCCGAAGAAGAAGAGUUGACUGAUACAGGGUUGAGAGUGGCAGACUUGAUUAAUAGGCCAGAUCAUGAGGGAAAUUCAGUUUCACUUCCAGAUGUCUCGAU
rnacentral:lncRNA from 1 species